rnacentral:rRNA from 1 species
AUACGGAGGAUCCGAGCGUUAUCCGGAUUUAUUGGGUUUAAAGGGAGCGCAGGCGGAGAUGCAAGCGUGACGUCAAAUUUCGGGGCUCAACCCCGUCUCGCGUCGCGAACUGCGUCCCUUGGUUGCGGGAAGGGGAGGCGGAACUCGUGGUGUAGCGGUGAAAUGCAUAGAUAUCACGAAGAACUCCGAUCGCGAAGGCAGCCUUCCGGCCCGUCAACGACGCUCAUGCUCGAAGGUGCGGGUAUCAAACAGGAUUAGAUACCCUGGUAGUCCGCACAGUAAACGAUGGACACCCGCGGUUUGGCCUAUAUGGCUGAGCCGCCAAGCGAAAGCGUUAAGUGUCCCACCUGGGGAGUACGCCGGCAACGGUGAAACUCAAAGGAAUUGACGGGG